UAGUGACUCCAAACUCCCGGACAUGCAGGCUGGAUGGGAGCAGAUGUGUUCCAACGUCAUGGCCGGGUUAUCCGGUCUGAACAUGGUCUAUGAAGCCG
rfam:Phaeobacter sp. CECT 5382 genome assembly, contig: 0009